rnacentral:tRNA from 1 species
GCCGGUUUAGUAUAGUGGAUUAUUAUCCCUGUUUUGUACUCAGGGGACGGGGGUUCGAUUCCCUUAGCCGGCU